AUUCGUUGGUGAUGUCACUGAGGGCCCGGCAUGGCACGGGGCAUUGCCGCUAGAUGGGGCCGUUUGCCCGAGGGAGCGACCCUGAAGUACGCGGUGGGAUGUGGCUCAGCCGUCUUCAGCCCGGCUUCCACGAGCGGAACGUCACUCCUCUCCGCCCUCAGGGGGAAGAAAGGAGCACAGGCAGGCAGAGAGCCCAGCCCAGCUAACCUCCUGGCUUCUGCUGUAGAGCUCUCCAUUCUUUUUUGAAGACAGCAGCAGCAUGCGCAUCACCUCUAAAAACACAAGGUACUGAUAGCUACGAUAUGAUCACACAGGUGAGACCAGCACAAGGUAUGAGAUGAUACCUCUAUAUCCCAUUGGACACUGAAGAGUGUCAUUUUCUGACGUAUUUGCGCUGUUGACAAAAAAAAAAAAAAGAAAGAAAAGAAAAAAAAAAGAAAAAAAAGGGGGGGGGAAGAAAAAGAGGGAAGAAUAAGGGGAAGAAAAUAGAAAAAGAAAAUGAAAAUAGGGAAGAAAAGGAGAAAGAAGAAAUAGA